UACGGGGGGGGCAAGCGUUUGUUCGGAAUUACUGGGCGUAAAGGGCUCGUAGGCGGCCAACUAAGUCAGACGUGAAAUCCCUCGGCUUAACCGGGGAACUGCGUCUGAUACUGGAUGGCUUGAAUCCGGGAGAGGGAUGCGGAAUUCCAGGUGUAGCGGUGAAAUGCGUAGAUAUCUGGAGGAACACCGGUGGCGAAGGCGGCAUCCUGGACCGGCAUUGACGCUGAGGAGCGAAAGCCAGGGGAGCAAACGGGG
rnacentral:rRNA from 1 species